rnacentral:tRNA from 1 species
GCGGGCGUGGCGGAAUUGGCAGACGCGCCGGAUUUAGGUUCCGGUGCCGCAAGGCGUAUGAGUUCAAGUCUCUUCGCCCGCACCA